GAUUUUGUUGUUGUUGAUCUAUUCAACUUUUAGAUACAUUUGCAAUGUAUUUUUCUUUAUUCCAGAAUCCAUAUAUGCAUACCCAGCAGGACAUCGGCAGGCGUGCUUAUAGACAACAACAAGUGGACUACACAAGCCAAGUCUGUAAGGGCACAUGUCCAGGCAUGUUUUACCAGCGAGUCAUCUAGAGAGCUUUUCCCCAGCAGGUGGAAUGGGAGACUCCAAACAUUGAUGUGAAUGUAUGUUCUCCUCUGCUUUUUUUGGACCUCUUUUUCUGGAUACUUUUGCUCAGGACUCUUAUUUUUGUUGUUGUUGAUGACUGUAAGGUCUAGGGUUGACCUCUGUUAAUCAACGUAUCACCCAUGCUACAGAGGUAGUCAAUGGGCUAGUGGACAAACCAAAACAGAUACCCAGAUGACCACACAAGUGAAACUUAACUUCGGACAGGGACACAGACACACACUGCUACAUUGUCUUUCUCAUUUUACAAUUUAAAAAACACUAACAAUACCAAAUUACUCAUGAACCAUUAAGAGAGAUCAACAUUUAAGUGCUUUAUUAAAAGGUAAAACAAAAAUAACAGGAGUCAUACAUGUAUCUCUGUCUAUAUAUUUAUACAUGGUGAAAAUAAUGGGCUUGUAGCACAGUUCUCUAGCACAUACAAGUGCAAGCUAAAUGUCUGAAGUGAACUGCCUUACUGCCUCAACUCAACUCAUCUCUAACUACAGACUCCAUCACUCUCCAUCUUAUUAUUAUCAUCUGAAGCUGUGGAAGCCA